rnacentral:rRNA from 1 species
UACGAAGGGGGCUAGCGUUGCUCGGAAUCACUGGGCGUAAAGCGCACGUAGGCGGGUCUUUAAGUCAGGGGUGAAAUCCUGGAGCUCAACUCCAGAACUGCCUUUGAUACUGGAGAGCUUGAGUCCGGGAGAGGUGAGUGGAACUCCGAGUGUAGAGGUGAAAUUCGUAGAUAUUCGGAAGAACACCAGUGGCGAAGGCGGCUCACUGGCCCGGUACUGACGCUGAGGUGCGAAAGCGUGGGGAGCAAACAGG